rnacentral:rRNA from 1 species
AGCUCCAAUAGCGUAUAUUAAAGUUGUUGCAGUUAAAAAGCUCGUAGUUGAAUUUCUGUACAUUCUCAGUUCUGGCUUCGGUCAAGCUGUUGAAUGUGCAUCCGCUUGCAAACUUAGACCGGCCUUCACUGGUCGACUAAGGGAGUAAGCCCUUUACUUUGAAAAAAUUAGAGUGUUUCAGGCAGGCAAUGGCUCGAAUACAUUAGCAUGGAAUAAUGGAAUAGGACUUUUGUCCAUUUGGUUGGUUAUUGGACAUAAGUAAUGAUUAAAAGGGACAGUUGGGGGCAUUAGUAUUUAAUUGUCAGAGGUGAAAUUCUUGGAUUUAUUAAAGACUAACUUAUGCGAAAGCAUUUGCCAAGGAUGUUUUCA